rnacentral:lncRNA from 1 species
CCACUGCACAGCUACCUUGCACACGGCUCGCUCGCUGUCCACGUCCAGGCUGUCCAGGCGCAGCACCUCCUGCAGCUGGGCCAGGCUCAGCUCGGCCAAGGACUCCUCUCCCCCGGGGCGUGGGGCCCCGCUGAGCUGGGAGAAGUUACGGGCCACGAAGGCCAAGGCCUUGGCCCGCAGCUGCGGGUGAUCAAAGGCGUCAGCAAACUUGAGGAUGGAAGCACAGUUGGCCACAUCGAGGCGGCGGGCAAGGAAGGCCGCGCAGGCCUCGCGCACAUACUCGAGCUGCAGCAUGUCGGCGGCCGCGUAGAGCCGCUGCACGUUGGUCUCGCUGACAGACACGCGGCCAGUGUAGCAGUAGUCCAGCAGCAGCGCCAGCGACUCAGCAUCCAUGUCGUGCAUGGUCACGCGAGGCUGCUGGCUCUCGAACAGUCCGCCUGUGAACAUGCUCUUGAAGUAGGGGCACGCGGCUGCCAGCACGUUGCGGUUGCACGAGAACAGCCGGCUGGCCCCGGGCCCCCCGCCGGGCGCAGCCACCUCGAUGGUCACAUCGCAAAGCAGCCGGGCGUCGUAGAAGGACUUGAGCUGGGCCACCAGGGCCGGGGCGUGGGCCGCGUCCUCCAGCUCCUCGGGCCCCGAAAAGAAGGACGAGACCGAGAGCCCGGCCAUCUUUCUGGGCCGCCUCCCGCCGCGGGGGUUGGGCAGGCGGCGGGGACGCGGAGGCUCCUCCCGGGACUGCGUGGUGGUGGUGGUGGCGGAGGCGCGGGCGCCGGGGCCGGGGCUGGCUCUGUGGGUUGUCUCCUGGCUCCUCAGCCAGCCGCCGCUGCCGCGGAGGACUGGCUGCAGCUCUCGCUCUGUCCUGCAGCUGGCUCUGCGCCUUCGCCGAGCCGCCCCGGUCGGACGCACAGGUUUCCCCUCUCCGCUGGCUGCGUCCCGCUCGCGUCUCUCGCCUCUCUCCUCCGCCUUCUCCCUCCUCUUUCUCCGCUCUCUCGGCAGCAGCGGGCUGGGAAAGGUGCAGCUGCUGUCCUGGUGACGGGGGCGGCCCCCGGGAGACUACAGUUCCCAGGUGUCUCUGGGAGGCGCAAGGCAUGCUGGGGUCAGGGAAAGGUCGGGAGAGGAGAGCACGUCGGGAAUUUUCGUUUCAUUGUGUUGGAUCGACCCCAGUGUUUGUGGAAAAGGCGGCGCCCGCCACUUUCUCUUUUUAAUCUGAUCACAGCUGCAAUUAAGGAGUAA